GUCCCUAGGAAGAGUUCAUCUCAGUCAAUUAUGGAAGUUGCGUAAAAUGUCUCAUGGUCUGAGCCCUGUCAUAAAGUAUUAACCACCAAAUAAUUCAUUGGUGUUUGCUAUUGUGGUAUUACCACAAUACAUAGAAUGACGCCAGAAGUGUGCUCUACUUUCAUUAUGCAGACCAUCUGCAAUAUGAACAUUAGCUGUUUGUUGUACAGAGGCUGAAUCAUCCUAAGAAAACCAUCUCGAAAGUGAAAAAAACAAGAAAAAAGCCUUUUCUACAUCCACCACUAUUGCAGCAACUCGCCUUCAACCACACGUGUCGCAAUGCACGCCUGAUGUUAGCUUGAAGAUGUAUUUUGUCUGUCUUAUCUUAUGGAAUCUAUUUGACAGGCCUAUAGCAAUGACCUUUAGUUACCUUCCUUGGUAAGUUGGGGGAAAUGUCUCCCUCUUUUAACCCAAUGCAUUUCAUUUGUUGUAAAGGAUCGAAUGAUUGUGGGUGGUUGGUCCAACGACCACGCGUCCCGUCCGCGUCAGGGGUUUAUUUGUUUAAAGGUGUAAAUUUGCAAUGUUUGCUUUCUUGUUCCGAAAAGACUAUAGGCCUACUGCCUUUCUAUAAGGUAUGGGGAGAAUAUAACGAAAUGUCGACAAAAGAACCUCUGAUCACUCAGCUUUGUUUCCUGAAAACUCUUAAGAGACUUUUUUGCAGAGAUUUACUGUUUGUGAAAUAGUAAAACAUCCUAUCACUGCACAAAAGUAUAGCUAAUACACUCACCCGAUUUGGGGAAGGUAACGAGGUAAACGUCGUCAUCUCUGACUUCAAAAUGUUGCAAAUCGUCAAUAUAUUCCGUCGUUAGGUUAGUGGUGUCGUCCACUGGAAAAACAGCCCCUUUGUAUGCGAACAGAGUAUCACCGAGUAGUUUGUAUUCUUGUUGAGCCAUUGCUUUGUUGAAUGCAAACAAAUGAUUCCAAAUUCUGUGCAGUGAGUUGGAGGAGAAACAUUGAAA